UGGUUGAUCCUGCCAGAGGUUACUGCUAUCGAGGUUCGACUAAGCCAUGCGAGUCGAAUGUAGCAAUACAUGGCGUACUGCUCAGUAACACGUGGACAACCUACCCUUGGGACGGGGAUAAACCCGGGAAACUGGGUAUAAUACCCGAUAGAUCUCGAAUGCUGGAAUGCAUCGAGGUCGAAAGCUCCGGCGCCCAAGGAUGGGUCUGCGGCCUAUCAGGUAGUAGUGGGUGUAGCGUACCUACUAGCCUACGACGGGUACGGGUUGUGAGAGCAAGAGCCCGGAGAUGGAUUUUGAGACACGAAUCCAGGCCCUACGGGGUGCAGCAGGCGCGAAAACUUUACAAUGCCGGAAACAGCGAUAAGGGGACCUCGAGUGCCAGGUUACAAAUCUGGCUGUCGUGAUGCCCAAAAAGCAUUGCAUAGCAAGGGCCGGGCAAGACCGGUGCCAGCCGCCGCGGUAACACCGGCGGCUCGAGUGGUAACCGUUAUUAUUGGGUCUAAAGGGUCUGUAGCCGGCCGGAUGAGUCUCUUGGGAAAUCUGGCAGCUUAACUGUCAGGCUUUCAGGGGAUACUGUCUGGCUCGAGGCCGGGAGAGGUGAGAGGUACUUCAGGGGUAGGGGUGAAAUCUUGUAAUCCUUGAAGGACCACCAGUGGCGAAGGCGUCUCACCAGAACGGACCUGACGGCAAGGGACGAAAGCUAGGGGCACGAACCGGAUUAGUUACCCGGGUAGUCCUAGCCGUAAACGAUACUCGCUAGGUGUCGGCCACGGUGCGACCGUGGUCGGUGCCGUAGGGAAGCCGUGAAGCGAGCCACCUGGGAAGUACGGCCGCAAGGCUGAAACUUAAAGGAAUUGGCGGGGGAGCACCACAACGGGUGGAGCUUGCGGUUUAAUUGGAUUCAACGCCGGAAAUCUUACCGGGACCGACAGCUAUAUGAAGGCCAGGCUGAAGACUUUGCCGGAUUAGCUGAGAGGUGGUGCAUGGCCGUCGUCAGUUUGUACUGUGAAGCAUCCUGUUAAGUCAGGCAACGAGCGAGACCCACGCCCACAGUUGCCAGCGUACUCUCCGGAGUGACGGGUACACUGUGGGGACCGCCGCUGCUAAAGCAGAGGAAGGAAUGGGCAACGGUAGGUCAGUAUGCCCCGAAUAUCCCGGGCUACACGCGAGCUACAAUGGUUGGUACAAUGGGUAUCUACCCCGAUAGGGGA
rnacentral:rRNA from 1 species